rnacentral:lncRNA from 1 species
GGGGAGUCUUGUAUUUAAUGGGGAGUUUUGCAUUUGAGGGGGAGUAUGCAUUUUUUUGCUCUUGUGCAUGCAUUUCAUUAUGGCCUAUUUUCAGGGGGAGUGCAUGUGUUCAGGGGGAGCUUGUGAGUUUUGUGCUCUCUUUUGCUCUUUUGCCGGUUGUGUUGAACUGUUAACUCUUCUUGAGGAACCGGCAUUUGGUUUGAGCUUUCAAUCGUCACAUGGUUGGUGUUGAGCCCUAUCUACCUCUUCUUGAGGGAUCAUGUGUUUUCGAUCUUCACAUGAUUGGUGUUGAGCCCUCUCUGCCUCUUCUUGAGGAAUCAUGUGUUCCUUGUCUCGGUUGUGUCUAGCCGUUAUCCAUGUUUUUAGGGACCGAGACUUUUCCAAGUUGAUUUUGGUCUUUGUGAUGCUUCUCAUGCCAAGUAACUUUGAUCUUUGCCUUUAUAUGAUUUUUGAUCACUUGGAUGAGAGUUUUAUCUAAUUGGUGUCACAUUUUGGCUUUUGUGGAUCUUAUCAUCUCAAGUGAUUUUGAUCUUGGUUUUUACUUGACUUUUGAUCACUUGGAUGAGAUUUUCGGUUUUUACAUCUCAAACCAUUUGUUUGUGUUUGAAUGUUGUCAACACACUCAUCAAGGGGGAGAUUGAGAAAUCAAGUCAAUAUGAACCUUGAUUUGAUAGUGAUGAGCGUUUGACAAAUAUUGAAAUGUGUUUGAAGGUUUAUGGGCUUUUCGGUUGUAUUAAGUCUUUGCCCUUUUCUUUGGGAACUGACAAAUGUUGAAAUGGCUUUGAUGGCAUUUUGGGAUACAGCAAGCUUUUGUGUCUCUUGAUUGACUCUUCGGUUGUGUUUAGCCUUUGCACUUUCUUUAAUAACCAAGAGUUUUUUAUUUGGAGCUUGCAUGAUCCUUUCUCAUAUCAAGUGGCCUUGUGGUUGCUUUUACUUAGCUUUAGGGUACUUGAAUGAGUUCUCUUUUGCUUUCAAAUCAUCUUUUGUCAAUGCACUUAUCAAGGGGGAGAUUGAGAGACCAAGUUGAGAUGUGCCUUGGUCUAUUUGUGACAAGUGAUUGACUAGAUGAUUUAAGACUUCACCGGUUGAGUCCAUAUUUCAUAUGUGCUUGAUUAUGCUAACGGCUAACCGGAUGUGUUGUGUUGUGUGCGUUGUGUUGUAGUGUUUGUGUAAACUAUAUGUUGUGUGUUGUGUCUCUUGGCUUGUGAUGUGCAGAUGUAGGAGAGAUGAAGGUCAAGCGAAAGGUUCAUGCCAAUGUACUAGGGCUGUGAAGGGUGGAUACGAGUAGGCUUGGACUGAGGGACCCGAGGAGUCCGGCGGAGUCAUGGGCGGUCCACAUGGUGCAUGGAAGAGCAAGAGUACACGGACGAGGUGGAGCCUACUCUCGGUACUAAUGUGCCUGUACCGGGUGGAGCCUCCACCCGGUACUAAUGUGUGACCUUUAAUACCGGGUGAAACUUCCAACUAGUACUAAAAGGAAUCACGGGGGCUCCUGAGGAACUAGCCGUUAGACUCGAUACUAAUGCUCAUAUUAGUACCGGGUUAAAAAAUAACCGAC